rfam:Oryza meridionalis cultivar OR44 (W2112) chromosome 2, whole genome shotgun sequence.
UAUAAGUGUACUUUAUACUAUUCAUUUCCAACGAUUGACCAUUCAUCUUAUUUGAAAUUUUUUAUGAUUAGUAUUUUUAUUGUUAUUGGAUGAUGAAACAUGAAUAAUACUUUAUGUGUGACUAUUUUUUCUUAGUUUUUUCAUAUUUUUUUAAAUAAAACGGACGGUCAAACGUUGGACACGGAUUCUCACGGCUGCACUUAUU